rnacentral:rRNA from 1 species
GUCGAACGAUGAAGCUUAAAUGAUCUCUUCGGAGUGACCUUAAGUGGAUUAGUGGCGGACGGGUGAGUAACGCGUGAGUAACCUGCCUUGCACAAGGGGAUAGCCGUUGGAAACGACGAAUAAUACCCUAUGAUAUGAUAGCCUCGCAUGAAGCUAUCAUCAAAGAUUUAUCGGUGUAAGAUGGACUCGCGUCUGAUUAGCUAGUUGGUGGGGUAACAGCUCACCAAGGCAACGAUCAGUAGCCGGCUUGAGAGAGUGUACGGCCACAUUGGGACUGAGACACGGCCCAGACUCCUACGGGAGGCAGCAGUGGGGAAUUUUGCACAAUGGGGGCAACCCUGAUGCAGCGACGCCGCGUGAUUUAGAAGGCCUUCGGGUUGUAAAAAUCUUUUGUAUGGGAAGAAAAUGACAGUACCAUACGAAUAAGGACCGGCUAAUUACGUGCCAGCAGCCGCGGUAAUACGUAAGGUCCGAGCGUUGUCCGGAAUCAUUGGGCGUAAAGGGUACGUAGGCGGAUAAGCAAGUUAGAAGUGAAAUCCUAUAGCUCAACUAUAGUAAGCUUUUAAAACUGCUCAUCUUGAGGUAUGGAAGGGAAAGUGGAAUUCCUAGUGUAGCGGUGAAAUGCGCAGAUAUUAGGAGGAAUACCGGUGGCGAAGGCGACUUUCUGGCCAUAAACUGACGCUGAGGUACGAAAGCGUGGGUAGCAAACAGGAUUAGAUACCCUGGUAGUCCACGCCGU